rnacentral:lncRNA from 1 species
CAUUGAUCCUGAUUGACAUGCUGUAUGCCUCUCCCAGUGUGCUGUGUGUCUCCCACUACAGGAAGCCCAUCCUGUGGUUUGUAUUUGAGGGUGCCUGGAACACCCUCACAAGUCUCCCUCUGCAGUGGCAGAAGCACGGGGGUAUGGCUCAAGGCAGGAGAAAGGAAGCAAUUAAACUGCAUGUCCUAUCUGGCACUGAACAAAGCACUCUGAAACUCCCUUUCCCCUAGGUGUGUCUGAGGACUGAACUAUCCUAGUUUCUCAGAUUAAGGUGUGGGAAAGACUUCUUCCUGACUGCCAAAUUAGAUGGGACGUGUCCUUUCAGAAAAUGGCCUUUCCUAGGCUGGCAAAGAAUGAAAGACAAGUUGCCCUUGCUCCCAUUACUGCAAUGCUUGAAAGGUUCUUAAGAUUUCUGUUUUACCUAAUGAUUAUGAAGGCAUGUUUGCAUACAGGAAACAUGGAAAAAUGUUUUGUCUUUAUUUCAGUUGUCUCUUGAAAGCUGGGAUAAAGCCGAGCAGUUCAUAUUAUGAGAUGACUGCUAUAAAGGAAGCUCUUAGAAGAUUUUAUGGUGUAACACCGAAGAUCCAAUGCCUUCCUCCAGAAGAGGUAAAAACUCCCCUAAUUUUCCAAAAUGGAAAAAAACCCAAAAACCCAAACAAAAAAUAACUUCCUUUUUUUAGGAAGAAUUUUUUAAUCAAAAGUACAGCAAAAAAUAGAAUGAAAAAUCUUUGAUAUGGUAAAACUUAGGACUAAGUGUUCUUUGUGUAUACAGCUGUUUGAUUCUUGGACUUGAGUUUUAGAGGUCUCUUUGUCUUGAAAGACUUACACCUGCAUCUUUUGUAUGAAUGCUGUAUCCACCCUGCCAGAGGCGUUGCUGUAGCUGAGCACUUUACACCAUGCCUGCUAAAGCUUAAUUGCUGCAUGGCAGAUUACUAAAACCAGUAAGAGUGAGCUGAAUGGAGCCAGUGACUGUCAGUCUUGCUGAGGGUGCUGCUGUCAGCAGCAGCCUUCCCUCCACUGGGCAUGGCUUUUGUGUUCUGCAUGAAGAAGCUACUCAGUGAACAGAUUCCUUCUGAAAUAAAGCAGCUCAGAAGCUUGUCUCUGAGAUUGUU